rnacentral:rRNA from 1 species
GGCUCAGGACGAACGCUGGCGGCGUGCCUAAUACAUGCAAGUCGAGCGAAUGAUAAGGAGCUUGCUCCUUGAUUUAGCGGCGGACGGGUGAGUAACACGUGGGUAACCUACCCUAUAGACUGGGAUAACUUCGGGAAACCGGAGCUAAUACCGGAUAAUACUUUUGAACACAUGUUCGAAAGUUGAAAGAUGGUUUCGGUUAUCACUAUAGGAUGGACCCGCGGCGCAUUAGCUAGUUGGUGGGGUAAUGGCUCACCAAGGCAACGAUGCGUAGCCGACCUGAGAGGGUGAUCGGCCACACUGGGACUGAGACACGGCCAGACUCCUACGGGAGGCAGCAGUAGGGAAUCUUCCACAAUGGACGAAAGUCUGAUGGAGCAACGCCGCCGUGAGUGAAGAAGGAUUUCGGUUCGUAAAACUCUGUUGCAAGGGAAGAACAAGUAGCGUAGUAACUGGCGCUACCUUGACGGUACCUUGUUAGAAAGCCACGGCUAACUACGUGCCAGCCGCCGC